ensembl:lncRNA
CAAAGGACAGUGGUUCACGGAAGGAGUUGUGGUCUAGGCCCUAAAAAGAAUGGGGAACCACUGAAGGAUUUUAACCAGGUAUUUCCAAAAGAUGUUGGCAGGGGCCAAAAUGGAUGUGUCUGGAGGAAAUGAGCAGAACAGGACACUGUGGCUGAUCAUCUUAAUCCCAGUUGGAGUUCUGAAACCUGUUGCCUGCCUGGUUGCCUUUGACUAUGGGGUUGCACAGAGUCAGACACGACUGAAGUAACUUAGC